AGACGACGCUGGCGGCGUGGAUUAGGCAUGCAAGUCGAACGUAUCAUCCUUCGGGGGUGAGAGAGUGGCGAACUGGUGAGUAACACGUAGGUUAUCUACCCUCAAGACGGGGACAACCCAGGGAAACUUGGGCUAAUACCGGAUGUGAGCAACUUUUAGUUGUUUGAAAGGUGGCGUAAGCUGUCGCUUGGGGAUGAGCCUGCGUCCUAUUAGUUAGUUGGUGAGGUAACGGCUCACCUAGGCAAUGAUAGGUAGGCGGCCUUAACGGGUGGUCGCCCACACUGGGAUUGAGAUACGGCCCAGACUCCUACGGGAGGCAGCAGUCGAGAAUAGUCUACAAUGGUCGGAAGACUGAUAGUGCGACGCCGCGUGAACGAUGAAUCCCUUCGGGGUGUAAAGUUCUUUUAUAUGUGAGCAGUGCUUCUUAUAUUAACAGUAUGGGGAGAGAGAUAUUAGCAUAUGAAUAAGCAACGGCUAACUCCGUG
rnacentral:rRNA from 1 species